AUUAUAUUUUUUUUUAAACUUUCUUCACCUUUCUUGUUCCUUUUCUCGCACUCUCUCUCCUGCUUAUUUUUACUCCACCCAAAUCUUCUAUCCCCUCAUUAACAAACCAGAAGAAUUUUUGAGAUAAAAAGAACACCUAACACCAUUACAAUUGUGUGCUGCCAACAUCGGAUUCAAGGAUGACUAUGAGAUAAAAAAUGGAGCGAGUAUCUUUGGUGGCUCUAGUGGUCUAAGAGGGAGCGGGUGUUUCGCACAUCUCGUUCGACAGAGGCGAACAAGAAAAAGAGAUAGGCGGAACACGAAAAGGGGGCGAUUAUCUUUGGUGGUUCUAAUGGUCGACGGUAGGUGAUGCAGAGUCGUCGAAGUUUCACAUAUGUCGUCGGAGAGUUGCACAAGUUUUGAUUCUUUCAACAUUUUCAUCUCAUUUCCGGCACCGGUCUCAAGGUCUGAAUCACAGGAUGAAGGAUUUUAUUAUCGUUUCAUAUGUUAGCUUGCUUGUUAUAUAAAAUAAAGUUUAUUGUUACAUUUUUAAUUUAGCAUGUUAAGAAAGCAAAUAGAUUAGCGAUUUUUAUUGUUGUUAUGUAGAAAAAUGAAACAUUUCUGUAGAUGCAACGUUAGAGAAAUAAAGUGUUACAUUGUUGAUGCAAGGUUACAUAAAUAAAGUAUUUUUUUGUUGUUGGUACA